GAUGAAGAACGUAGCGAAAUGCGAUAAGUAAUGUGAAUUGCAGAAUUCAGUGAAUCAUCGAAUCUUUGAACGCACAUUGCGCCCGCCAGUAUUCUGGCGGGCAUGCCUGUUCGAGCGUCAUUACAACCCUCAGGCCCCCGGGCCUGGCGUCGGAGAUCGGCGGAGCCCCCCGUGGGCACACGCCGUCCCCCAAAUGCAGUGGCGGUCCCGCCGCAGCUUCCAUCGCGUAGUAGCUAACACCUCGCGACUGGAGAGCGGCGCGGCCACGCCGUAAAACACCCAACUCUUCUGAAGUUGACCUCGAAUCAGGUAGGAAUACCCGCUGAACUUAAGCAUAUCAAUAAGCGGAGGA
rnacentral:misc_RNA from 1 species